GUGCUUGCUUUGGCAGCACAUAUACUAAGAAUUGGAAUGAAACAGAAGAGAGUAGCAUGGCCCCUACACAAGGAUGACACACAAAUUCAUGAAGUGUUUCAUAUUUUA
rnacentral:snRNA from 1 species